CCUAUGCCUAGAGGCAUUGCAGGUAUGGCUGUUGUGUCAUGUGUCAGUAGGUGGCAGAGAGAAGAGAGUCUAUGUCUAAUCUCAGUGCUCUGACCUAUGAACAUCUGGAUAAUUAGUAGCCUAACACU